ensembl:snRNA U2 U2 spliceosomal RNA
UGUCCUCCAUCGGAGGUCUAUAUUGAGCAGAUUCUUUUUGGUGUUGGGUGGUGGAACCGGAGCUUGCUCCAUCCACUCCAUGCAUUGACCUGGUAUUCCAGUGCUUCCAGGACCGCUGC